rnacentral:rRNA from 1 species
CUGACAGCCAUGCCGCGUGCAGGACGACUGCCCUAUGGGUUGUAAACUGCUUUUGUUAGGGAAUAAACCCCACUACGUGUAGUGGGCUGAAUGUACCUAAAGAAUAAGGAUCGGCUAACUCCGUGCCAGCAGCCGCGGUAAUACGGAGGAUCCGAGCGUUAUCCGGAUUUAUUGGGUUUAAAGGGUGCGUAGGCGGCACUUUAAGUCAGGGGUGAAAGACGGCAGCUCAACUGUCGCAGUGCCCUUGAUACUGAAGUGCUUGAAUGCGGUUGAAGACGGCGGAAUGAGACAAGUAGCGGUGAAAUGCAUAGAUAUGUCUCAGAACACCGAUUGCGAAGGCAGCUGUCUAAGCCGUUAUUGACGCUGAUGCACGAAAGCGUGGGGAUCGAACAGGAUUAGAUACCCUGGUAGUCCACGCCCUAAACGAUGAUGACUCGAUGUUUGCGAUAUACCGUAAGCGUCCAAGCGAAAGCGUUAAGUCAUCCACCUGGGGAGUACGCCCGCAAGGGUGAAACUCAAAGGAAUUGACGGGGGCCCGCACAAGCGGAGGAGCAUGUGGUUUAAUUCGAUGAUACGCGAGGAACCUUACCCGGGCUUGAAAGUUACUGAAGGAUGCAGAGACGCAUCCGUCCCUCGGGACAGGAAACUAGGUGCUGCAUGGCUGUCGUCAGCUCGUGCCGUGAGGUGUUGGGUUAAGUCCCGCAACGAGCGCAACCCCUAUGUUUAGUUGCCAGCACGUCAAGGUGGGGACUCUAAACAGACUGCCUGCGCAAGCAGAGAGGAAGGCGGGGACGACGUCAAGUCAUCAUGGCCCUUACGUCCGGGGCUACACACGUGCUACAAUGGAUGGUACAGCGGGCAGCUACACAGCAAUGUGAUGCCAAUCUCGAAAAGCCAUUCACAGUUCGGAUCGGGGUCUGCAACUCGACCCCGUGAAGUUGGAUUCGCUAGUAAUCGCGUAUCAGCAAUGACGCGGUGAAUACGUUCCCGGGCCUUGUACACACCGCCCGUCAAGCCAUGAAAGCUGGGGGUACCUAAAGCAUGU